rnacentral:lncRNA from 1 species
ACACAACGGACACCCUCAAUGGUUGUUCCCUCACUUAUGACUAUUAAGUGCCUCUUGUAAAUUGAACCAUCGACUGUGGCAAUGUAUAUGAGAUAACAAACGAAAUGUUUCAGAAUGUGAGAAUUUAUUUGAAUUCAGGACUUUCUUGGUCAGUUAGUCCUAGAAAUAUAAACACCCAAAGAAUAACAUAUACCAUACAUUAAAUUAUGCAAUACAGUGUCAGAUUAGGAAAUGAUUGCCAUGGGACAAAGAGAAUCUAACUUCAAUCAUUCAGAGCAAGUAAACAGUUAAACACAUAUUUUAAGAAAUAUGAAUCUACAAGCACCGUCUCAAUGAAAAGAAAUAUCAAGUUUAGAUUCAUUGGCUCAUAUUUUAGGAAGCCAAGAGCAUUAUGGACGUAUUCGUGAUCUAAGUUUGGAUCCUUGUUCAUCAAAAGUCGUUGGAGUCCAUGCUUGUUCUCAUAGUGGAUCAUCUUCAUCUACUCCUUCUAAUGCUGAAUUACAAUUUUAGGUUAAUAAAUAUUUAAUAAAUGUUUACUUGGUUUGUUCCUUUUAAGAUUAACAUGUUAGAGAUCAUAUUUCUCACUUUUUAAAUAAAUUUUUCUGUUAUAGGUAUCUUCAGUGACUUCUGCUAAUGUUUAAUUACAAUCUGAGGUUAAUGAAUAUUUAAUAAAUAUUUACUUGGUUUGUUCCUUUUAAGACUAACAUGUUAGGUAUAUCAUAUUUCUCACUNUUUAAUUAAAUUUUUGUAUUAUAGGUAUCUUCAUUGAUAUCACAAGUCAGGGAAAUGAAGGCAAUGAUGACACUUUUGUUGCAAAAUCAUCAAGACUCAUUGUCUUCACAGUUUGUAGUAUUUCAACGAUCAUCAGUAAUAAUUGGUAAAUUUAUUUGUAUUGUUUCUUUUAUUAAAUAUAUUAUCAACUAACUAUUAUGUCAAGAGAGUGUACUAAACAAUGGAUGUAAUGAAGAAGAAGAAAAUUAGAUAUUGUUCAAAGUAAAAGGUUUUAUUUGAGAUGUUGGAUGUUAUUUGAGAUGGAUUACCANUGUAAAUGUUAUGCUUGCUAUGGUGUGAUCUUAUAGGUUUUCAAGUUAAUAAUAUACACAUCUUUUUAUAGUAGCA